CCCCUCUCUUCCUCUCUGCUCCCCACACACUUACCGUACUAAACUUUACUUUCAAAGUCCACAGGAAGAACUUCUGCCUAUAGUCUGUAGUUGCUGUAUCUGUUGCUUGCUUUGCAGCUAUCCAGUGCUGCUCUGUGUGAUGUGUGCUAUGUGGAGAUAAAGGGACAAUGUGAUCUUGUGCAGAGAUAUGAUGUCAUGGAGUGUGAUGUGUGGUUGUGUAGAGUUGUCCCUGUGUGUCAGAGGUUGUUGCAGUGACCUGCAUCGUUGUGUGUAGUGCAGAGCCCUUAC